rnacentral:tRNA from 1 species
GGGGUAUAGCUCAGCUGGUAGAGCACCUGCUUUGCAAGCAGGGGGUCAGCGGUUCGAAUCCGCUUACCUCC